rnacentral:rRNA from 1 species
CCUGGCAGAGGUCACUGCUAUCGGGGUUCGAUUAAGCCAUGCGAGUCGAGAGGGUUCAGACCCUCGGCGGACUGCUCAGUAACACGUGGAUAAUCUGCCCUAUGGUGGAGGAUAACCCCGGGAAACUGGGGAUAAUACUCCAUAAGUCAGGAGUACUGGAAUGUCUCCUAACUGAAAGUUGCGGCGCCAUAGGAUGAAUCUGCGGCCGAUUAGGUAGUUGUUGGGGUAACGGCCCAACAAGCCUGUAAUCGGUACGGGUUGUGGGAGCAAGAGCCCGGAGAUGGAAUCUGAGACACGAUUCCAGGCCCUACGGGGCGCAGCAGGCGCGAAAACUUUACAAUGCAGGAAACUGUGAUAAGGGAACCCCGAGUGCCCGUAAACGCGGGCUGUCCCGGUGUUUAAAACACAUCGGAAGAUAGGGCCGGGCAAGACGGUGCCAGCCGCCGCGGUAAUACCGGCGGCUCGAGUGGUGACCACUUUUAUUGGGCUUAAAGCGUUCGUAGCUUGAUUUUUAAGUCUCUUGGGAAAUCUCACGGCUUAACUGUGAGGCGUCUAAGAGAUACUGGGAAUCUAGGGACCGGGAGAGGUAAGAGGUACUUCAGGGGUAGAAGUGAAAUUCUGUAAUCCUUGAGGGACCACCGAUGGCGAAGGCAUCUUACCAGAACGGCUUCGACAGUGAGGAACGAAAGCUGGGGGAGCGAACGGGAUUAGAUACCCCGGUAGUCCCAGCCGUAAACUAUGC